GAUCUGUGAGAGUGAUGGUGACAGUGGUACAGGCCGGCACUACGGGAAGUGGCCGGGAAGGAAGGGGCCGUGGACGCGUACGUCCGGGCCCGCAGGAGAGAUGACUGGGUCGCAACCAGCGUGCCUUGUGUAGACAAGAGGGACACUAAAAAGAUAAGUGCCCAGAAAGGAAUAAAAAGGGGGGCGCCCCUAUGAUGGCAAUAAAGAAACAGGAAUAGGGGUGUCCGGGGGGACGGACCGCCCUGACCCCUAAACCCCAAGUAAAAAUGCAAGUAAAAAAUUCAAAAAUAAACUUUUUAGUGGACUCUGGAGCGGCACGAACUGCCGUGAAUCGACCCCUUCAGUUGCCGGUAGCAGACUCCCUUACCGUGGUGGGUGCCACAGGCAGAGGCACUAAGUGCCCAGUGUAUGCCCCAGCGGAUGCGCUUUGGGAAACAGGACUAUAUCUCACAAGCUGGUCUAUUUCCCCGAGUGCCCGACCCCUCUGCUGGGACGGGAUCUGCUUUGUCGCCUAGGCGCCACCUUGCAGUUUACUCAAAACGAAAUAACCCUUACCCUACCCCCCGAGAAUGCAUGGAUCAUGACCCUUACA